rnacentral:tRNA from 1 species
GGGCUUGUGGCCUAGUCUGGAUAGGGCGUAUGACUCCUAAUCAUACGGUCGGGGGUUCAAAUCCCCUCAAGUCCG